GCAUAUCAAUAAGCGGAGGAAAAGAAACUAACAAGGAUUCCCCUAGUAACGGCGAGUGAAGAGGGAAGAGCCCAAGAUUGAAAGCUGGCGCCUUCGGCGUCCGCAUUGUAAUCUCAAGAAGUGUUUUCCGCUUCGGACCAUGCCUAAGUCCCUUGGAAAAGGGCAUCAUAGAGGGUGAUAAUCCCGUACAUGGCAUGGAGCGCCCGAAGCUUUGUGAUACGCUUUCUAAGAGUCGAGUUGUUUGGGAAUGCAGCUCAAAAUGGGUGGUAAAUGCCAUCUAAGGCUAAAUAUUGGGGAGAGACCGAUAGCGAACAAGUACAGUGAUGGAAAGAUGAAAAGAACUUUGAAAAGAGAGUUAAACAGUACGUGAAAUUGCCAAAAGGGAAGGGUAGGAGGUCAGAGAUGCGUCGCAGGAUUCAGCCUUGCUUUUGCUUGGUGUUUUUCCUGCGUUGCAGGCCAACGUCGGUUUUGGGCACUGGAGAAGGGUAGGAGGAACGUGGCACCUCUCGGGGUGUGUUAUAGCCUCCUACUGGAUACAGCGACCGAGACCGAGGAACGCAGCGUACUCGUAAGAGCGGGCCUUUUGGCACCUUUACGCUUAGGGCGUUGGCAUAAUGGCCCUCUACCACCCGUCUUGAAACACGGACC
rnacentral:rRNA from 1 species